UAAAAAUACUGAGAUUGAGGAAAGUGAACUCUUUGAUGCAAGCUUAACAAAUUUGAAAGAAGAUGGAUCUUCACCGUCCCUAACUCUGAUCAGAAAGCAGGGAUGGUAUUCAGAUAAACUUUCAUAUCUAAAAGGAAAAGUGCCUUCCUCGAUAGGAAUUCCAACAUCAAUUGCCCUGCCCUUUGGAGUUUUUGAGAAGGUUUUGUUAGAUGAUUCAAACUAGGUUUGUCUCAUCUCAUCUCAUGUCACUUAAGUGUAUCCAACAUCAAUAGAAUGCUAAUUCUAACAUAUUGACCUUUGAAACCUUUCCAAAAUUAUCAGAAAUGACAUAGGUGAUUAUCAAGCAAAUGCUAGAUGUGUAUGCCUAGAUGAGGGCUUCACUUGGUGAGGCAUGCAUUUUGUUCUCAUGUUUUGAUUUUUGAAGCUUUUUUUCUUUUUAUUGUUUGAAUUAUGUAAAAGAGAGCUGAUUGAUGUGGUAUGUUUUUGUUGUAUUUUUUUAAUGAGAUUUUAUGGAUUUUUUUUUUUAAUUGUUUCUUUGAGUGUGGCAUUUCAGGUGAAGAGAAGGAUAGAUUUGGUUUAUGGGGGAGGGAGUGUGGGAUUGAUGGGUUUGAUCUCCCAAGCUGUUUAUGAUGGAGGCUGCCAUGUUCUUAGUUCUCUGUUAGAGUUUGGUGUCCUUAGAUUUGAGUUGGGUUAUUCAAUGGAAAAUCCAAAUUCAUUGGUUGUGUGGGAAGCAGUUGAUGCAUGUCUUGUUGUCAUCUGAUUGGGAAGAAGAUAAUUGAACUUGAAAUAUGCAUUGGACAGAAUGGUAACAUUGGAAAUAUAAAAGCUACCAAGCGUAGUAUGUCAUCAGGUUUAGAAAUGAAGCUUGAUGAGCUGCGGAAAGAGCUCUCUUCAAGUCAUGAAGGAAUAUUACCACAUACCAUUCUUUCCACCUAACAGAUUAGCACGUUAAGCGCCAAAAAACCAACUUCCAUGGAGCAGCUAAGGACUAGCUUGGUUCUGACUAUCAUAGGAGC